AUGGAUAAGAAUAAUAAUGGAAUGGUAGUUCUGGAGCAUAUUAUUCUUCCUGUUUUGUAUUCUGAUUCCUUUCUGUAUUUAAUUUGGGCAACUUGUUUAGGUGGAAGCUCAAACUGUCAUGUUUCAUAUUGGGUACAAGUACUUGCAAAUUGGCUGAAAGUUUGUGUCUGGGAACCAUCAUUUCUUCAGAGGGGAGACAAAGACAUCCUAUCAAAGUCUGGUGUGUUGUGGCCCGUGGCCUGUGGCAAUAGAGCGUAG